rnacentral:rRNA from 1 species
GCAAGUCGAGCGGACAGAUGGGAGCUUGCUCCCUGAUGUUAGCGGCGGACGGGUGAGUAACACGUGGGUAACCUGCCUGUAAGACUGGGAUAACUCCGGGAAACCGGGGCUAAUACCGGAUGGUUGUUUGAACCGCAUGGUUCAGACAUAAAAGGUGGCUUCGGCUACCACUUACAGAUGGACCCGCGGCGCAUUAGCUAGUUGGUGAGGUAACGGCUCACCAAGGCGACGAUGCGUAGCCGACCUGAGAGGGUGAUCGGCCACACUGGGACUGAGACACGGCCCAGACUCCUACGGGAGGCAGCAGUAGGGAAUCUUCCGCAAUGGACGAAAGUCUGACGGAGCAACGCCGCGUGAGUGAUGAAGGUUUUCGGAUCGUAAAGCUCUGUUGUUAGGGAAGAACAAGUGCCGUUCAAAUAGGGCGGCACCUUGACGGUACCUAACCAGAAAGCCACGGCUAACUACGUGCCAGCAGCC